AAAAAUAAAAUUUAAAUAAAAUUUUUAAUAUUAUAAAUUAUUUAAUUAAUUAAAAUAAUAAUAAUUAAUAAAAUUUUUAGUAAUAUAAAUAAAAUAAUUAAUAAAAAAUAAAUUGUAUUGUAAAAGAAAAUUUUAAAUAUUUAAAAAGAUAAAUUAAUUUUUUUUACCUUUUGUAUCAGGGUUAGUUAAAAAUUUUUAUUUAAGUAUAAAUAUUUCGAAAUUAAUUGAGCUAAAAUUUAAUAUUAGUUAAUGUAAUAAAAUUAUUAAUAAUUAAAUUUUAGAAAUUAUAUAUUAUUCAUAAUUAAUAAUAUCUAAUUUUUUAAUAAAUGAAUUUAAUUCAUUAAUUUAUUUAUUAUUUAAUAAUAAAUUUUUAUUAUAAAUAAUUUAAUAAAUUAAAAAAUUUUAUGGGAUAAACUUUAAAAUUAAUAUUAUAAAAUUUAAUAAAAAUAAUUAUUUUUAAAUAUAAUUUAAAAUUUUAAUUUUUAAAAAAUAUAUAAUAAUUUAUAAUUAAAUAAAAAUUAAUUUUAUAAAAAUUUUUAAUAUUUAUAUUAAAAUUUAAAUUUUAACUAAUAAAAUUUAAUAAUAAUGAUUAAAUUAGUAAAUUUUUAUAAAUAAAUUGUAAAAUAAAUUGAAAAUUUAAGUUAAUAAAUUAAGCAAAUUAUAAUAUUUACCUGUUUAUUAAAAACAUGUCUUUAAGAAUGUAUAUAUAUUUAAAGUCUAAUCUGCUCAAUGAAAAAUAAUUUUAAAUAGCUGCAAUAUUUUAAUUGUACAAAGGUAGCAUAAUAAUUUAUCUUUUAAUUAAAGAUGGGAAUGAAAGAUUUAAUAAAAUAUUAACUGUGUCAAUUUAAAUAAAAUUUAAAUUUUAUUUUUAAGUAAAAAAUCUUAAAUAUAAUUAUUAGACGAUAAGACCCUAUAGAACUUUAUAUUAAAUUAUUUUAUAUUAUAAAAUUUAUAAAAUUAUAUUUUAAUUUAAUAUUAUAUUGGGGGCAUAAAAAAAUUAAAAUAAUUUUUUUAUUAAUUUUUACAUUAAUAAAUGAAUUAAAUUUAAAAGAGUGUUUAAUAUAAAUUAAUAGAAUAAGUUACCUUAGGGAUAACAGCGUAAUUUUUUUAAAUAGUUCUUAUUGAUAAAAAAGAUUGCGACCUCGAUGUUGAAUUAAGAUAAAUAUUAAAAGAAGAAUUUUAUUUAUUAAGUCUGUUCGACUUUUAAAAUCUUACAUGAUUUGAGUUAAAAUCGGCGUAAGCCAGAUUGGUUUCUAUCUAUAAUAAAAUUUUAAAUAUUUGUACGAAAGGACUUUAUUUAAUAAAUAAAAAUAUUAAUAAUAAAUGAAUUACAUUAAUUUUUAAUUUUAAUUUUUAUAAUAUUAAUAUAAAUAAUUA
rnacentral:rRNA from 1 species